ensembl:rRNA 5S_rRNA 5S ribosomal RNA
GUCUAUGGCCAUGCCACCCUGAACACACCCGAUCUUGUCUGAUCUUGGAAGCUAAGCUGGAUCAGGCCUGGUUAGUACUUGGAUAGGAGAAAUGCAGGGCCUAUGGCCU